rnacentral:rRNA from 1 species
CGCCAGACUCCUACGGGAGGCAGCAGUGGGGAAUAUUGCACAAUGGGGGAAACCCUGAUGCAGCAACGCCGCGUGAGUGAAGAAGUAUCUCGGUAUGUAAAGCUCUAUCAGCAGGGAAGAAGAUGACGGUACCUGAGUAAGAAGCCCCGGCUAACUACGUGCCAGCAGCCGCGGUAAUACGUAGGGGGCAAGCGUUAUCCGGAUUUACUGGGUGUAAAGGGAGCGUAGACGGCCAGGCAAGUCUGGAGUGAAAGCCCGGGGCUCAACCCCGGGACUGCUUUGGAAACUGCCAGGCUGGAGUGCUGGAGAGGCAAGCGGAAUUCCUAGUGUAGCGGUGAAAUGCGUAGAUAUCAGGAGGAACACCGGCGGCGAAGGCGGCCUGCUGGACCGCGACUGACGUUGAGGCUCGAAAGCGUGGGGAGCGAACAGGAUUAGAUACCCUAGUA